UCAUAGGCUCAGGGUGAGAUGGGUUAUCAUGGGCUCAGGGUGACAUGGGGGUGUCACAGGCUCAGGGUGAGAUGAGGGUGUCACAGGCUCAGGGUAAGGUGGGGUAUCAUGGGCUCAGGGUGAGAUGGGUUAUCAUGGGCUCAGGGUGACAUGGGGGUGUCACAGGCUCAGGGUGGGGUGGGGUAUCAUGGGCUCAGGGUGAGAUGGGUUAUUAUGGGCUCAGGGUGACAUGGGGGUGUCACAGGCUCAGGGUGAGGUGGGGUAUCAUGGGCUCAGGGUGAGAUGAGGGUGUCACAGGCUCAGGGUGAGGUGGGGUAUCAUGGGCUCAGGGUGAGGUGGGAUAUCAUGGGCUCAGGGUGAGAUGAGGGUGUCACAGGCUCAGGGUGAGGUGGGGUAUCAUGGGCUCAGGGUGAGAUGAGGGUGUCACAGGCUCAGGGUGAGGUGGGGUAUCAUGGGCUCAGGGUGAGGUGGGAUAUCAUGGGCUCAGGGUGAGAUGAGGGUGUCACAGGCUCAGGGUGAGGUGGGGUAUCAUGGGCUCAGGGUGAGAUGAGGGUGUCACAGGCUCAGGGUGAGGUGGGGUAUCAUGGGCUCAGGGUGAGAUGGGUUAUCAUGGGCUCAGGGUGACAUGGGGGUGUCACAGGCUCAGGGUGAGGUGGGGUAUCAUGGGCUCAGGGUGAGGUGGGAUAUCAUGGGCUCAGGGUGAGAUGAGGGUGUCACAGGCUCAGGGUGAGGUGGGGUAUCAUGGGCUCAGGGUGAGAUGAGGGUGUCACAGGCUCAGGGUGAGGUGGGGUAUCAUGGGCUCAGGGUGAGAUGGGGGUGUCACAGGCUCAGGGUGAGAUGGGUUAUCAUGGGCUCAGGGUGAGAUGGGUUAUCAUGGGCUCAGGGUGAGGUGGGGUAUCAUGGGCUCAGGGUGAGAUGGGGGUGCACAGGCUCAGGGUGACAUGGGCUAUCAUGGACUCAGGAGCUCUUCCACGAAGCCAGUGUGUCUGCUGAGUGAAAACAGAUGUCUAAGCCAACAGGGUCUGAGCUCUUCUCCCCCUUACCCGUCCCCAUCCCCCACACCACUGAUACUGACCCUCUGUCCCC
rnacentral:lncRNA from 1 species